UUGAAACGAGAUCCCAAGAUGCCCAUUUUAUCUAUUUUUAAGAUGUAAGGGACAUGAAUACUGGUAUUGGGCAGUCAGGAUUUGGAGGUCAACGGGGUGGACGGAGAGUAGCAUUUGGAAAUUGAACCUGUUGACGAAAGCAUGAUUUGGUGGAAUAUGCAAAGUUGUUGCCUCUGUACUGCUAUCACUAUAGCGCCAAGGUAAAGUCCUAGUGGCUGUUACAGAGGUCCGGAACCUGUAAGAGAUUUUAGACCAGUAUAGUGAGUCAGGAGCCGACACUCUUGAACUGUUCCAUAGAGGAGAAUAUAGCUUAUGGAUUUGAUGCCAAAAUUAACGACGCUGAUAUUGAAAAUGCAGCUAAAAUGGCCAACGCGCAUGAAUUUAUAUCAAAUUUCCCAGAAAAAUACAAGACCUUUGUUGGAGAGCGAGGCAUAAGGCUUUCAAGAGGAGAGAAACAGAGAAUAGCAAUUGCUAGAGCAUUACUUAUGGAUCCGAAAAUUCUCCUACUUGAUGAAGCCACCAGUGCCUUAGAUGCUGAAAGCGAAUACUUAGUGCAGGAUGCUAUGAAUUCUAUCAUGAAGCGAAGAACAGUUCUAGUCAUUGCUCAUAGGUUAUCAACUGUGAAAACUGCUAAUACUGUUGCAGUUGUUAUACUGCAUUAGUCAAGAGACAACAACUACAAACAACAAAAACUGAAAUCUAAUCUAUGUCUAGCAAAUUAUGAAUAACGGGUGCCAGUUGCCACGGUACAUGUGAGAACACUCCUGUCUGCCCGCAGAGCUUAGUUCGGUGGUUGACUGUGGUCAGACGCCAUUACCAUCACCACCAACCUCAACCCAACCUCUCCUUCAAUCCUCACCGUAUCUCCCACACUCGUCCUUCAACUCACAUCGCCCAACCUUCCAAUCUAGGGACAUUCCCUCAUCAUCAUCCUCUGCCAUUCAUCAUUUUCACUCAUGGCGCUCCCAAAUUCGCUCCUCUUUCUCCCAAUCAAUGAUCGUUCGCAACUAUAUCUCCACUUUAUUCACCAAAAACCUACUUCAUGGUAAUCUUCCCAGAGUUCAUUUUCACCGUCAGAACUU